CCAGACUCCUACGGGAGGCAGCAGUGGGGAAUAUUGGGCAAUGGGCGCAAGCCUGACCCAGCAACGCCGCGUGAAGGAAGAAGGCUUUCGGGUUGUAAACUUCUUUUGUCAGGGACGAAGCAAGUGACGGUACCUGACGAAUAAGCCACGGCUAACUACGUGCCAGCAGCCGCGGUAAUACGUAGGUGGCAAGCGUUAUCCGGAUUUAUUGGGUGUAAAGGGCGUGUAGGCGGGAAUGCAAGUCAGAUGUGAAAACUCAGGGCUCAACCCUGAGCCUGCAUUUGAAACUGUAUUUCUUGAGUGCUGGAGAGGCAAUCGGAAUUCCGUGUGUAGCGGUGAAAUGCGUGGAUGUACGGAGGAACACCAGUGGCGAAGGCGGAUUGCUGGACAGUAACUGACGCUGAGGCACGAAAGCGUGGGGAGCAAACAGGAUUAGAUACCCCAGUAGU
rnacentral:rRNA from 1 species